rnacentral:rRNA from 1 species
ACCGAGAUCUACACUCUUUCCCUACACGACGCUCUUCCGAUCUGCUAGUUGGUGAGGUAACGGCUCACCAAGGCGACGAUCAGUAGCUGGUCUGAGAGGAUGAUCAGCCACAUUGGGACUGAGACACGGCCCAAACUCCUACGGGAGGCAGCAGUGGGGAAUCUUGCACAAUGGAGGAAACUCUGAUGCAGCGAUGCCGCGUGAGUGAAGAAGGCCUUUGGGUUGUAAAGCUCUUUCGUCGGGGAAGAAAAUGACUGUACCCGAAUAAGAAGGUCCGGCUAACUUCGUGCCAGCAGCCGCGGUAAUACGAAGGGACCUAGCGUAGUUCGGAAUUACUGGGCUUAAAGAGUUCGUAGGUGGUUGAAAAAGUUGGUGGUGAAAUCCCAGAGCUUAACUCUGGAACUGCCAUCAAAACUUUUCAGCUAGAGUAUGAUAGAGGAAAGCAGAAUUUCUAGUGUAGAGGUGAAAUUCGUAGAUAUUAGAAAGAAUACCAAUUGCGAAGGCAGCUUUCUGGAUCAUUACUGACACUGAGGAACGAAAGCAUGGGUAGCGAAGAGGAUUAGAUACCCUCGUAGUCCAUGCCGUAAACGAUGUGUGUUAGACGUUGGAAAUUUAUUUUCAGUGUCGCAGGGAAACCGAUAAACACACCGCCUGGGGAGUACGACCGCAAGGUUAAAACUCAAAUGAAUUGACGGGGACCCGCACAAGUAGUGGAGCAUGUGGUUUAAUUCGAAGAUACGCGCAGAACCUUACCAACACUUGACAUGUUCGUCGCGACUCUAAGAGAUUAGAGUUUUCGGUUCGGCCGGACGAAACACAGGUGCUGCAUGGCUGUCGUCAGCUCGUGUCGUGAGAUGUUGGGUUAAGUCC